GCAGGCAAUCUGAAGAACUAUAAGAGGCAGCUGCGUGGUUUUCUUGUGGCGAGUUUUCUGACUAAUUGCCACAGAGCAAUUGCUGUUCCAGAGGUUGUUACGCUAGCUGCGCCACCCCUUUGUAGCUACAUUCAUGGAACAUAUUCUUAUUUAGGCUUGUUUGCAUGGCUCGUCAAAUAGAUUUGUCAAGAAGAAUAUGCAAAAUACUCUCGCAAUAGCCUCUGGCGCUUUGUUUGUUGUCUGCUGCUGCAGCCGAGAAUGAGGAAGCUGCGUAGGUGAGACAGGAGCACAAUGUCCUCUUUUUAAUCAGGCCCGCAGGUCGUUCUUUUGAUGAUAGCACUGAUGGAGAGGACCUUAAAGAAGACUCUGUGAUACCGAUUAAUAUGGUUGGGUCUCUAGAUUUACACUGAUUUCUUUUUGGACAAGGUUCGAGGAUUUUGAUUCCUCUUAUGAAUUUCGGUUUACUUUUCAGAAUCAAGCAUAUGAGACUUUUCCUGUAUGUUUUUAAACUCUUAUCUCUGUCUAUUUAUUAUUUGUUGGCUUGAAGGGCACCCUGGCAUUAUUAAUGAUGACCCAGAAUUCCCUGCUGUUACAAGCAGUAAACAACCUUGUGACAAAACCAUGAAAUCUUUUGACCCCACUCCCCAGCUCGGUGAUGUACAUACUUCCUGAUGUUUUUUUCUUAUUUUUUAUGAAUGUAUAUAUUUAUUUUAUUUUUUUAAAAUGAAAUCUGGAUGUGUUUGUUGCUUCGAGACCCUGAACCUUAGUCACACAGGCUAACUCUCCGUUCUCUGAACGUACUUUACUGCUACAUCAAACACCAUCUUCUACACUGAGAUACUGUUGUUUUCUUAAAGCGUUUCCUUCACCGGUCCAUGUGUGUUAUUCAAUAUUUAUUGAUGUUCUUAUGAAUUCUAGUUCUGUCAUCGUAUUAUCUUCUUUACCGAACCAGUGGUCAAUUAAAAACCUUGG